rnacentral:tRNA from 1 species
GGGGUCGUGGUCUAACCAGGUAGGACGACGGGCUCCAGACUCGUUGGUUAAGGGUUCAAAUCCCUUCGACCCCACCA